AAUUCCAGCUCCCCGAGUGGUUGGGAUGUUUAUUGGGUCUAAAGCACUCGUAGCCCGCCGAAAAAGUUCUCCGUUAAAUUCGGCGAUUCAAUCGUCGACAUGCGGGGAAAACUUUUCGGAUUGGGGGCGGAGGAAGUCGGCGGUAUUUCUGGGGUAGGGGCGAAAUCCUAUAAUCCCAGGAGGACCACCAGUGGCGAAGGCGGCCGACUAAAACGCGCCCGACGGUGAGGGGUGAAAGCUGGGGGAGCGAACGGGAUUAGAUACCCCGGUAGUCCCAGCUGUAAACAAUGCAGGCUAGGUGUUGGAACAGCUUCGAGCAGUUCCAGUGCCGCAGGGAAGCCGUUAAGACUGCCACCUGGGAAGUACGGUCGCAAGGCUGAAAUCUUAAGAAAUAAAAGCUGAAAAUCUGUCUAUAUCUUAAGACAGCAAACUUAAAGGAAUUGGCGGGGGAGCACCACAAGGGGUGAAGCCUGCGGUUUAAUUGGAGUCAACCCCGGGAAACUUACCAGGGGCGACAGCGGGAUGAAAGCCAGAUUAAAGGUCUUGCUGGACUAGUUGAGAGGAGGUGCAUGGCCGUCGCCAGUUCGUGCCGUGAGGUGUUCUCUUAAGUGAGACAACGAACGAGACCCGCGCUUCUAGUUGCAACCGGAUCACACCAGUGAUACGGGCACACUAAAAGGACUGCCUCCGCUAAGGGGGAGGAAGGAGCGGGCAACGGCAGGUCAGUAUGCCCCGAAUCCCCUGGGCUACACGCGGGCUGCAAUGGCUGGGACAAUGGGCUCCAACCCCGAAAGGGGAAAGCAAUCCCGAAACCCAGCCUCAGUUUGGAUCGAGGGCUGUAACUCGCCCUCGUGAAAAUGGAAUCCCUAGUAAUCGCGUGUCAACAUCGCGCGGUGAAUACGUCCCUGCUCCUUGCACACACCGCCCGUCGCUCCACCCGAGUUUGGUUUAGGUGAGGCUUCGUCUCAUUGGCAAAGUCGAACCUGAGUUAAGCAAGGGGGGAGAAGUCGUAACAAGGUAACC
rnacentral:rRNA from 1 species